rnacentral:rRNA from 1 species
AGUCUGAACCAGCCAAGUCGCGUGAGGGAAGACUGCCCUAUGGGUUGUAAACCUCUUUUAUAAGGGAAGAAUAAGUUCUACGUGUAGAAUGAUGCCUGUACCUUAUGAAUAAGCAUCGGCUAACUCCGUGCCAGCAGCCGCGGUAAUACGGAGGAUGCGAGCGUUAUCCGGAUUUAUUGGGUUUAAAGGGUGCGUAGGCGGUUUAUUAAGUUAGUGGUUAAAUAUUUGAGCUAAACUCAAUUGUGCCAUUAAUACUGGUAAACUGGAGUACAGACGAGGUAGGCGGAAUAAGUUAAGUAGCGGUGAAAUGCAUAGAUAUAACUUAGAACUCCGAUAGCGAAGGCAGCUUACCAGACUGUAACUGACGCUGAUGCACGAGAGCGUGGGUAGCGAACAGGAUUAGAUACCCUGGUAGUCCACGCCGUAAACGAUGCUCACUGGUUCUGUGCGAUAUAUUGUACGGGAUUAAGCGAAAGUAUUAAGUGAGCCACCUGGGGAGUACGUCGGCAACGAUGAAACUCAAAGGAAUUGACGGGGGCCCGCACAAGCGGAGGAACAUGUGGUUUAAUUCGAUGAUACGCGAGGAACCUUACCUGGGUUUAAAUGGGAAAUGUCGUAUUUGGAAACAGAUAUUCUCUUCGGAGCGUUUUUCAAGGUGCUGCAUGGUUGUCGUCAGCUCGUGCCGUGAGGUGUCGGGUUAAGUCCCAUAACGAGCGCAACCCUUACCGUUAGUUGCUAGCAUGUAAUGAUGAGCACUCUAACGGGACUGCCACCGUAAGGUGAGAGGAAGGCGGGGAUGACGUCAAAUCAGCACGGCCCUUACACCCAGGGCUACACACGUGUUACAAUGGCCGGUACAGAGGGCCGCUACCAGGUGACUGGAUGCCAAUCUCAAAAGCCGGUCGUAGUUCGGAUUGGAGUCUGUAACCCGACUCCAUGAAGUUGGAUUCGCUAGUAAUCGCGCAUCAGCCAUGGCGCGGUGAAUACGUUCCCGGGCCUUGUACACACCGCCCGUCAAGCCAUGGAAGCCGGGGG